rnacentral:rRNA from 1 species
AAAUUGAAGAGUUUGAUCAUGGCUCAGAUUGAACGCUGGCGGCAGGCCUAACACAUGCAAGUCGAGCGGUAGCACAGAGAGCUUGCUCUCGGGUGACGAGCGGCGGACGGGUGAGUAAUGUCUGGGAAACUGCCUGAUGGAGGGGGAUAACUACUGGAAACGGUAGCUAAUACCGCAUAAUGUCACAAGACCAAAGUGGGGGACCUUCGGGCCUCAUGCCAUCAGAUGUGCCCAGAUGGGAUUAGCUAGUAGGUGGGGUAACGGCUCACCUAGGCGACGAUCCCUAGCUGGUCUGAGAGGAUGACCAGCCACACUGGAACUGAGACACGGUCCAGACUCCUACGGGAGGCAGCAGUGGGGAAUAUUGCACAAUGGGCGCAAGCCUGAUGCAGCCAUGCCGCGUGUGUGAAGAAGGCCUUCGGGUUGUAAAGCACUUUCAGCGGGGAGGAAGGCGAUAAGGUUAAUAACCUUGUCGAUUGACGUUACCCGCAGAAGAAGCACCGGCUAACUCCGUGCCAGCAGCCGCGGUAAUACGGAGGGUGCAAGCGUUAAUCGGAAUUACUGGGCGUAAAGCGCACGCAGGCGGUCUGUCAAGUCGGAUGUGAAAUCCCCGGGCUUAACCUGGGAACUGCAUUCGAAACUGGCAGGCUAGAGUCUUGUAGAGGGGGGUAGAAUUCCAGGUGUAGCGGUGAAAUGCGUAGAGAUCUGGAGGAAUACCGGUGGCGAAGGCGGCCCCCUGGACAAAGACUGACGCUCAGGUGCGAAAGCGUGGGGAGCAAACAGGAUUAGAUACCCUGGUAGUCCACGCCGUAAACGAUGUCGAUUUGGAGGUUGUGCCCUUGAGGCGUGGCUUCCGGAGCUAACGCGUUAAAUCGACCGCCUGGGGAGUACGGCCGCAAGGUUAAAACUCAAAUGAAUUGACGGGGGCCCGCACAAGCGGUGGAGCAUGUGGUUUAAUUCGAUGCAACGCGAAGAACCUUACCUGGUCUUGACAUCCACAGAACUUUCCAGAGAUGGAUUGGUGCCUUCGGGAACUGUGAGACAGGUGCUGCAUGGCUGUCGUCAGCUCGUGUUGUGAAAUGUUGGGUUAAGUCCCGCAACGAGCGCAACCCUUAUCCUUUGUUGCCAGCGGUUCGGCCGGGAACUCAAAGGAGACUGCCAGUGAUAAACUGGAGGAAGGUGGGGAUGACGUCAAGUCAUCAUGGCCCUUACGACCAGGGCUACACACGUGCUACAAUGGCAUAUACAAAGAGAAGCGACCUCGCGAGAGCAAGCGGACCUCAUAAAGUAUGUCGUAGUCCGGAUUGGAGUCUGCAACUCGACUCCAUGAAGUCGGAAUCGCUAGUAAUCGUAGAUCAGAAUGCUACGGUGAAUACGUUCCCGGGCCUUGUACACACCGCCCGUCACACCAUGGGAGUGGGUUGCAAAAGAAGUAGGUAGCUUAACCUUCGGGAGGGCGCUUACCACUUUGUGAUUCAUGACUGGGGUGAAGUCGUAACAAGGUAACCGUAGGGGAACCUGCGGUUGGAUCACCUCCUUA